UACGGAGGGUGCAAGCGUUAUCCGGAUUCACUGGGUUUAAAGGGAGCGUAGGUGGCUUUGUAAGUCAGUGGUGAAAUAUUGCGGCUUAACCGCAAAACUGCCAUUGAUACUGCUUAGCUUGAAUCACGUCGAGGUGGAUGGAAUAAUACAUGUAGCGGUGAAAUGCUUAGAUAUGUAUUAGAACACCGAUUGCGAAGGCAGUUCACUAGGCGUGUAUUGACACUGAGGCUCGAAAGCGUGGGGAUCAAACAGG
rnacentral:rRNA from 1 species